AGUGAACGCUGGCGGCGUGCCUUACACAUGCAAGUCGAACGGAUUGAAGGGGCUUGCUCCUUCAGUUAGUGGCGAACGGGUGAGUAAAGCAUCGGAACGUACCCAGUCGUGGGGGAUAACGUAGCGAAAGUUACGCUAAUACCGCAUACGAUCUGAGGAUGAAAGCGGGGGAUCGCAAGACCUCGCGCGAUUGGAGCGGCCGAUGUCGGAUUAGCUAGUUGGUGAGGUAAAGGCUCACCAAGGGGGCGAUCCGUAGCUGGUCUGAGAGGAGGAUCAGCCACACUGGAACUGAGACACGGUCCAGACUCCUACGGGAGGCAGCAGUGGGGAAUUUUGGACAGUGGGGGAAACCCUGAUACAGCCAUGCCGCGUGAGUGAAGAAGGCCUUCGGGUUGUAAAGCUCUUUCAGUCGGAAAGAAAAGGCUCCGGAUAAUACCUGGAGUUGAUGACGGUACCGACAGAAGAAGCACCGGCUAACUACGUGCCAGCAGCCGGCAGUAA
rnacentral:rRNA from 1 species